rnacentral:lncRNA from 1 species
AUGCCUCUCACAAAGGAUCUCCUUCAUCCCUCUCCAGAAGAGAAGAGGAAACACAAGAAGAAACGCCUGGUGCAGAGCCCCAAUUCCUACUUCAUGGAUGUGAAAUGCCCAGGAUGCUAUAAAGUCACCACGGUCUUUAGUCAUGCACAAAUGGUAGUUUUGUGUGUUGGCUGCUCCACUGUCCUCUGCCAGCCUACAGGAGGAAAAGCAAGGCUUACAGAAGGAUGUUCCUUCAGGAGGAAGCAGCACUAA